rnacentral:tRNA from 1 species
AAUAGAUUGCCUGAGAUUUAUAAAGGAUUAUUUUGAUAGGAUAAAUUACACAUUAAAAUGUAUCUAUUA